rnacentral:misc_RNA from 1 species
GUCUAUGUUUAUGUUUAUAUCUAUGUUUAUGUCUAUGUUUAUAUUUAUGUUUGUGUCUAUAUCAAUGUUUAUAUCUAUGUUUAUGUUUCUGCCAAUGUUUAUGUUUAUGUUUAUGUCUAUGUUUAUGUUUAUAUCUAUGUUUAUGUCUAUGUUUAUAUUUAUGUUUGUGUCUAUAUCAAUGUUUAUAUCUAUGUUUAUGUUUAUGUCUAUGUUUAUGUUUAUGUUUGUGUCUAUGUUUAUGUUUACAACUAUGUUUAUGUUUAUGUUUGUGUCUAUAUCAAUGUUUAUAUCUAUGUUUAUGUUUAUAUCAAUGUUUCUGUCUAUGUUUAUGUUUAUGUUCAUGUCUAUGUUUAUAUUUGUAUCUAUGUUUGUGUCUAUGUUUGUGUCUAUGUCGAUAUUUAUG